UACGUAGGAUGCAAGCGUUGUCCGGAAUUAUUGGGCGUAAAGAGCGAGCAGGCGGUUUGGAAAGUUGGACGUGAAAUUUUAGGGCUUAACCCUAAAGGGUCGUCCAAAACUCCCAGACUAGAGUGCAGGAGAGGAAAGCGGAAUUCCCGGUGUAGUGGUGAAAUGCGUAGAUAUCGGGAGGAACACCAGAGGCGAAGGCGGCUUUCUGGUCUGUAACUGACGCUGAGGCGCGAAGGCUGGGGUAGCGACAGG
rnacentral:rRNA from 1 species